CUACGGGAGGCAGCAGUGGGGAAUCUUAGACAAUGGGCGCAAGCCUGAUCUAGCCAUGCCGCGUGAGCGAUGAAGGCCUUAGGGUUGUAAAGCUCUUUCAGGGGGGAAGAUAAUGACUGUACCCCCAGAAGAAGCCCCGGCUAACUCCGUGCCAGCAGCCGCGGUAAUACGGAGGGGGCUAGCGUUGUUCGGAAUUACUGGGCGUAAAGCGCACGUAGGCGGACUGGAAAGUUGGGGGUGAAAUCCCGGGGCUCAACCCCGGAACUGCCUUCAAAACUUCCGGUCUUGAGGUCGAGAGAGGUGAGUGGAAUUCCGAGUGUAGAGGUGAAAUUCGUAGAUAUUCGGAGGAACACCAGUGGCGAAGGCGGCUCACUGGCUCGAUACUGACGCUGAGGUGCGAAAGCGUGGGGAGCAAACAGGAUUAGAAACCCUAGUAGUCC
rnacentral:rRNA from 1 species